GCCCGAAUUGCUCAGUUGGUAGAGCAUCAGACUUUUAAUCUGAGGGUCCAGGGUUCAAGUCCCUGUUCGGGCG
rnacentral:tRNA from 1 species